rnacentral:rRNA from 1 species
AGUGAACGCUGGCGGUAGGCCUAACACAUGCAAGUCGAACGGCAGCACAGUAAGAGCUUGCUCUUACGGGUGGCGAGUGGCGGACGGGUGAGGAAUACAUCGGAAUCUACUUUUUCGUGGGGGAUAACGUAGGGAAACUUACGCUAAUACCGCAUACGACCUACGGGUGAAAGCAGGGGAUCUUCGGACCUUGCGCGAUUGAAUGAGCCGAUGUCGGAUUAGCUAGUUGGCGGGGUAAAGGCCCACCAAGGCGACGAUCCGUAGCUGGUCUGAGAGGAUGGUCCGCCCACUUGGAACUGAGCCACGGCCCAGCCCCCUACGGGGGGCAGCGGGGGGAAAUUUUGGACAAGGGGCGCAAGCCUGACCCCGCCAUCCCGGGUGGGUGAAGAAGGCCUUCGGGUUUUAAAGCCCUUUUUUUGGGAAAAAAAAGCAGCAGGUUAAUCCCCCGCUUUUCUGACGGUACCCAAAGAAUAAGCCCCGGCUAACUGCGU